GAUGAACGCUGGCGGCGUGCCUAAUACAUGCAAGUCGAGCGAACAGACGAGGAGCUUGCUCCUCUGACGUUAGCGGCGGACGGGUGAGUAACACGUGGAUAACCUACCUAUAAGACUGGGAUAACUUCGGGAAACCGGAGCUAAUACCGUAUAAUAUAUUGAACCGCAUGGUUCAAUAGUGAAAGACGGUUGUGCUGUCACUUAUAGAUGGAUCCGCGCCGCAUUAGCUAGUUGGUAAGGUAACGGCCUACCAAGGCGACGAUGCGUAGCCGACCUGAGAGGGUGAUCGGCCACACUGGAACUGAGACACGGACCAGACUCCUACGGGAGGCAGCAGUCGGGAAUCUUCCGCAAUGGGCGAAAGCCUGACGGAGCAACGCCGCGUGAGUGAUGAAGGUCUUCGGAUCGUAAAACUCUGUUAUUAGGGAAGAACAAAUGUGUAAGUAACUAUGCACGUAUUGACGGUACCUAAUCAGAAAGCAACGGCUAACUACGUG
rnacentral:rRNA from 1 species